rnacentral:miRNA from 1 species
GAUCAGUUUAAAAAACUGAAAAAGAAUAUAUAUAUAUAUAUGUGUGUGUGUGUGUGUGUGUGUGUGUGUGUGUGUGUAGACACACACACAUAUAUAAGACUACUUCUGUAGACACAGAAA